rnacentral:rRNA from 1 species
UACGUAGGCAGCGAGCGUUGUUCGGAAUUACUGGGCGUAAAGAGUGUGUAGGCGGUGUUCCCAGUCUGUUGUGAAAUCUCCCGGCUUAACUGGGAGGGUGCAGCGGAAACUAGAAUGCUAGAGGGUGGGAGAGGUAAGCGGAAUUCCUGGUGUAGCGGUGAAAUGCGCAGAUAUCAGGAGGAACACCGGUGGCGAAGGCGGGUCUCUGGGCCGUAACUGACGCUGAGGAGCGAAAGCAUGGGGAGCGAACAGG